CAGGACUUAAUUAACCUCACGUUCAAGGUGUACAAUAAUAGAGUAGAGGCAGCCAAGUAGCAAUGUAUUUCUGAGUUGCAAUUCCUUGCCUCCACUGUGAGACAAACCCCAGCCACAACUCCAGCACACAAGAACUCCAAACACCUGAACCGCAGCUGCCAGGGGUUCCUCCAGAACCUCCUCCCCCAGGAGCUUGCUACAAGGGCUGGAAAUCUGGCCACUGGGCCAAGGAAUGCCCACAGCCUGGGAUUCCUCCUAAGCCAUGUCCCAUCUGUGUGGGAUGCCACUGAAAAUAGGACUGUUCAACUCACCUGGCAGCCACUUCCAGAGCCCCUGGAACUCUGGCCCAAGGCUCCCUGACUGACUCCUUCCCUGAUCUUCUCAGCUUAGCAGCUGAAGACUGACACUGCCUGAUUGCCUCAGAAGCCUACAGGACCAUCACAGAUGCCCUAGAUAACUCUCACAGUGGAGGGCAAAGCCACGCCCAUCAGGAACUUCAAAGUCAUUGAAACUCACCAAAGACCAACUCCUAUGAUCAGCCCGUGGACAAUACCGGUUAUUUUCAAACCAGUCCUUAGUCACCAGGAUUCUUGACAAGCUCCUGCAAAGCAGACACAGGUUUGUCUUGGUGGAAGCUGCUGACUGUCAUCCCCUCAGUUUGAAACUCGAGGUCCUGCUUUGGUGUGGAAGCAGAGCUUUUCUUGGCAGGUGAAAGAUUGCUUAGCAAAGGAAACGGUGUCAAAUGGAAUAUGUCAGAACCUAUCUCAGAACAAGGUCACCCUGACCCUAAAUGAAUUCCACAAAAACUCAUUGGAGACACUGUUUUGCAAAUCUGGACUUCAACCAAAAAGAAAGAAAAGUGGACCACAGUAACCAAAGCUUUCCUCAUCCUUCAGGUUGAGGUCUGGAAAACAGAAUCAAAGCCUCCCUUCAAUUCCUCCUCACCACCUGCCUUACCCAGAUGUACAUUUUAAAUUUAAUCAUAAAUCACAUAAAACAGAGUAACACAGAUGAAUUCAAAUGAGGUGGAUUGCAUGCAUGGAAGGCCAGUGCAGUAUAGUUUACCAAUGAUUACAAGUAUACUUUCUGCUUAAUGUACAUCACAACCAUGUUAAGUGAGUUACUACUAACCACAUUUCAUGGGUGAUGAAAUGAGAUAUGCCAUUUUGGGGGCCUGCCUGUGAUAGGCCACACAGAAAAUAAAGAGGAAAAUGCAUCCUUGGGCUAGGCUCUUUCCGAUCUUUCUCUCAACAUUCUUUCGAUGGCAGCAGCUCAGAGACAAUGAGGACCUAUCAAUCUGCCUUUCUCCAAUUCUCCUACCCCAGUCACCUAAUGUUACCUAAACCCAAAAAGGAAAUAUAUACAACUUCAAACUCUUCUCUAAACACUAAUUCUCCUGGUCGAAGCUUCAGCAAGGAUGCCUUCCACCUCUCAAGGGCACCCCACCGACUGAUUCCUCUGUGUCCUGAAGAUCCCUAUUGUGGCUAGUGGAUAAUAACGCUCAGGAAUGUACUUCUACCCCAUGAACCAGAACACUGUAAAACUGUUGUUCACAUUUAUCCAAUAAAAUCCAGACAAUACAUCUGGUUCUUUUUAUAUUUUUAAUAGUGGAAAUGUGUUUGUGAUUUAAAAACUUAGUUUCUGUCAAAAGAAGUAUAAUACAUAGUAUUCAACAGUUUCAGGAUCUCUUGUCAAAAGAGAUAAUUGCAGAACUUUAACAGACUAACAUGGUACUAUAUAGAAAAAUGACCUCUAAAAUAUAACACAUGGUUUUAGCUUCUAGGGAUGAUAUCUGAAAGUUAAUCCGACAUUUAUAACCAACUGACCAGGAUGUUCAAAAACUCAUGGCCCUAAGGCGUCUAGGAGACAAUUAAGAAGAAUGGACAUUACUCACAAUGGGAACAAUUCCCAGCUUUGCAGAGGAACACAGAUUUGGGGGGCUUUGCAGCCGUCCCUCAUAAUGGGAACAAUUCAUAUUUUCUUCCCUUAGAGAAUUAAGACUGAUGUUUUCCAUAAUGAAUAGUUUAUAAAGAUAAUACAAAGGAACUUUGUGGGUCGGCCGCGGUGGCUCACGGCCUGUAAGGAGGCUGAGGCAGGAGAAUCACUUGAACCCGGGAAGUGAAGGUUGCAGUGAGCCAAGAUGGUGCCAUUGCACUCCAUCAAGAGCGAAACUCCAUUUCAAAAAAAAAAAAAAAAACGAGGGAACUUUGCGAAAGUGUGGUUAGAAAACUAGAGUUGGAUAGUUAGGCUUAUUUUAAGAAGUUUAAAUAUUAUUUAGAAGAGAAAAAGAAACUACUUCUUAUCCCUGACUCAUCCACUCUUUCUCAUUUUCAUGUUUUUGCCUGACGUUGUUGCUCAUCAAUUUUGACUUAAGAAAAUUCUAGCAACAUUUAUAGAUUUUGCCAAAAUUCAGCUUCUUCCCAAAUCAAUCUAUAAGAAGGCUCUUCCUUAAACAUAAUUUUUAUAUCUAUGAACUGCACUAGCAUUUACUAUAUAUUUUUAUCACUCUCACCAUUACUGGAUAAUAAAUAAAAGCUCAUUAAAAGAGUUAACAAAACAUAUUUAUUUUAGGCAUCCUGAAAAAAAGAUUCAAUUUUAUUAUCAUUUCUACAAUAAGUAUUGAAGAAAGGAGAAUUUAAAUUACUUCAUAUACCUGAUAAAGGAAAACAUAUGCAA
rnacentral:lncRNA from 1 species